rnacentral:misc_RNA from 1 species
UACGUAGGGGGCAAGCGUUAUUCGGAAUUAUUGGGCGUAAAGAGCGCGUAGGCGGUCUGUUAAGUCUGAUGUGAAAGCCGCCGGCUCAACCGGGGAGGGGCAGUGGAAACUGGCAGACUUGAGUGCAGAAGAGGAGAGUGGAAUUCCAUGUGUAGCGGUGAAAUGCGCAUAUAUAUGGAGGAACACCAGUGGCGAAGGCGGCUCUCUGGUCUGCAACUGACGCUGAGGUGCGAAAGCGUGGGGAUCAAACAGG